CCUACGGGAGACAGCAGUGAGGAAUAUUGGUCAAUGGCCGGAAGGCUGAACCAGCCAUGCCGCGUGAAGGUCAGUGCCCUAUGGGCGUUAAACUUCUUUUGUGCGGGAGCAAUAAUGGUCACGUGUGGCCAGACGAGAGUACCGUACGAAUAAGCAUCGGCUAACUCCGUGCCAGCAGCCGCGGUAAUACGGGGGAUGCAAGCGUUAUCCGGGUUUAUUGGGUUUAAAGGGUGCGUAGGCUGUGAGGUAAGUCAGCGGUGAAAUGCCCCCGGUCACAGGGGGGAAGUGCCAUUGAUACUGGCUUGCUGGAAUGCGGAUGCCGUGGGAGGAAUGUGGGGUGUAGCGGUGAAAUGCAUAGAUAUCACACAGAACAACGAUUGCGAAGGCAUCUCACGGAUCCGCGAUUGACGCUGAAGCACGAAAGCGGGGGUAUCAAACAGGAUUAGAUACCCUUGUAGUC
rnacentral:rRNA from 1 species